AGUGAACGCUGGCGGUAGGCCUAACACAUGCAAGUCGAACGGCAGCACAGUAGGAGCUUGCUCUUACGGGUGGCGAGUGGCGGACGGGUGAGGAAUACAUCGGAAUCUACUUUUUCGUGGGGGAUAACGUAGGGAAACUUACGCUAAUACCGCAUACGACCUACGGGUGAAAGCAGGGGAUCUUCGGACCUUGCGCGAUUGAAUGAGCCGAUGUCGGAUUAGCUAGUUGGCGGGGUAAAGGCCCACCAAGGCGACGAUCCGUAGCUGGUCUGAGAGGAUGAUCAGCCACACUGGAACUGAGACACGGUCCAGACUCCUACGGGAGGCAGCAGUGGGGAAUAUUGGACAAUGGGCGCAAGCCUGAUCCAGCCAUACCGCGUGGGUGAAGAAGGCCUUCGGGUUGUAAAGCCCUUUUGUCGGGAAAGAAAAGCAGCAGGUUAAUACCCCGCUGUUCUGACGGUACCCAAAGAAUAAGCACCGGCUAACUUCGUG
rnacentral:rRNA from 1 species